rnacentral:piRNA from 1 species
AUAUGCUAAGAAUUCAACAGCCA